AGUAACGCGUGAGGAACCUGCCUCAAAGAGGGGGACAACAGUUGGAAGCGGCUGCUAAUACCGCAUAAGCCCACGGCUCGGCAUCGAGCAGAGGGAAAAGGAGCAAUCCGCUUUGAGAUGGCCUCGCGUCCGAUUAGCUAGUUGGUGAGGUAAUGGCCCACCAAGGCAACGAUCGGUAGCCGGACUGAGAGGUUGAACGGCCACAUUGGGACUGAGACACGGCCCAG
rnacentral:rRNA from 1 species